UCUAUUUCAGGCCAAGAACAUCCCAACAGCCUGCGGCACAAAUACAACUUUAUUGCAGAUGUGGUUGAGAAGAUAGCUCCUGCCGUGGUUCACAUUGAAUUAUUUCGCAAACUUCCUUAUUCCAAGAGGGAGAUUCCUGUUGCCAGUGGCUCGGGGUUCAUUGUCUCAGAAGAUGGCCUGAUAGUGACAAAUGCCCAUGUAGUCACCAACAAAAACAGGGUGAAGGUGGAGCUGAAGAACGGU